CGGGGUGAGUAAUGUCUGGGAAACUGCCUGAUGGAGGGGGAUAACUACUGGAAACGGUAGCUAAUACCGCAUAAUGUCGCAAGACCAAAUGGGGGACCUUCGGGCCUCAUGCCAUCGGAUGUGCCCAGAUGGGAUUAGCUAGUAGGUGGGGUAACGGCUCACCUAGGCGACGAUCCCUAGCUGGUCUGAGAGGAUGACCAGCCACACUGGAACUGAGACACGGUCCAG
rnacentral:rRNA from 1 species